rnacentral:rRNA from 1 species
UAAGGAAUAUUGGUCAAUGGACGCAAGUCUGAACCAGCCAUGCCGCGUGAAGGAUGAAGGCCCUCUGGGUUGUAAACUUCUUUUAUCUGGGACGAAACCUCUUAUUCUUAAGAGACUGACGGUACCAGAGGAAUAAGCACCGGCUAACUCCGUGCCAGCAGCCGCGGUAAUACGGAGGGUGCAAGCGUUAUCCGGAUUCACUGGGUUUAAAGGGUGCGUAGGAGGGUUGGUAAGUCAGUGGUGAAAUCUCCGAGCUUAACUUGGAAACUGCCGUUGAUACUAUCAAUCUUGAAUAUCGUGGAGGUGAGCGGAAUAUGUCAUGUAGCGGUGAAAUGCUUAGAUAUGACAUAGAACACCAAUUGCGAAGGCAGCUCGCUACACGAAUAUUGACUCUGAGGCACGAAAGCGUGGGGAUCAAACAGG